GCUAGCGAUCCGCCAAAGUUCCUCCGAUGACUUGGUGGGCAGCUUCCGGGAAACCAAAGCAUUUGGGUUCCGGGGGAAGUAUGGUUGCAAAGCUGAAACUUAAAGGAAUUGACGGAAGGGCACCACCAGGAGUGGAGCCUGCGGCUUAAUUUGACUCAACACGGGAAACCUCACCAGGCCCGGACACGGGAAGGAUUGACAGAUUGAGAGCUCUUUCUUGAUUCGGUGGGUGGUGGUGCAUGGCCGUUCUUAGUUGGUGGAGCGAUUUGUCUGGUUAAUUCCGAUAACGAACGAGACUCUAGCCUACUAAAUAGACGUACUUUAUU
rnacentral:rRNA from 1 species